rnacentral:lncRNA from 1 species
UUUUUUUCUUCGUCUUCUUCCUCUGAUCAUGAUUCACAAACAUGGUAUUAGAGUUUUGAGGCUCAAACCUCAAAUAGAUUCUGCAAACUUCGUUUUCCGUCUUUCGUUUUGACCUAGGAUUGAUCGUUGGGUUCCCCGAUCGAUUCAAUUCUUCGAUUUGCGAUAUAUUCUUCUGGUUAUUCCGCCAAGAAUCACAAAUUUCGCAAUCUAUCUUCAUUUUGAGAUGAUAAAUAACAGAUCUACUUGUCGCGCAGGAAGAAUUGCAGCUGUAUUUCGCCGCACUUCAGUUCUGAGAGAUUCUCAACCAGCUUCACCGGAUUCAACAAAUUUCCUGAAUCCCCUAACGGAUACAAUCGACAGGAUCCACUCUCUGUUUCAUUUGACGAGGGGUGAUAAUCCAGGCCUAUUGAUUAUAUCUGAGGUACUCAAAGGUCUUAACUAUGAUAUAAUUGGCGUAUUGCAAUGAACAUAGCUUUGGAUGCGAAGAACAAAUUAGCUUUUAUUGAUGGAUCUAUAGCUAGGCCGAGUGAUUCACUAACAAGAUCAAUACGAUCUAUCUUUUUGAGUAAUUCGUCACUUGGGAGAUGCUCCUCUCCAUGCCUCCGACAUAGUUGUCUUGUUAUGAUAGAAAGUGUUGAUAGCCUCCAAUAGGUUGACGUUAAGACUGUCUCUAAUUUAGCUAUACAUGUGCUUGUUUGAAAGCAGCAACUUGAGGUUGCUUCUUGAUUGUGACGGACAAGAUCUAUAAGCACAUGCACCUCAGAUUCAUUCUUAUUGUUGUCAUCUUUGGCAGAUCUUGUGGGAGAUUGACAUUGUCAGGGCCAGAUUCAUUCUUAUUGUUGUUUUCGCCAACAGUUGAGGUUCAACUUCUCAUCUAAGACAGUUACUUGCGCAUCAAGAAACCGGUUGUUUGCUGUUUUGGCUUCGAAUCUGUGAUCCUGCUUGCGUCUGUUCGAGACCAGUUGAAGUUAAUCAUCAUGGGACGAUCCAGUUUCAGGGACUUUAAGAAUUUAAUAAAAAUAUUCAAUUUCGCAUAUAAAUAGGUUUCGGAGGCACAACCAAAAUCUUUGAAGCAGCCAAGAAAUAUCUCGAACUAGUUUAUCAAAGGUGGCUGCUGAAACAUAACAUCUAACAUGAAAAUUAACAUUAGAAACAUCUCAAAAUGAUACAAAGAAGGAUAGAGAUUCUUCGCCAACAGUUGAGGUUCAACUUCUCAUCUAAGACAGUUAUGUGUUGUAACUACGUUACUUGCGCGUUAAGAAACCGGUUGUUUGCUGUUUUGGCUUCGAAUCUGUGAUCCUGCUUGCGUCUGUUCGAUAUAGAAUUUAGAACUUAAAUCAAAAAAUAAUAAAGUAACUUCUUUAUUAGCUUUAGAAAAUAACUCAAAACUAAAGCUUCUUAAUCUCUCUCUAAACUCUUAAGGAUUACCACAACUUUGGUAUCUCUUAUAUAAAGGAGAUAAAACACAUCAUAAUCCUAAUGGAUAAACACUUUAACAUUCAUAGAUAACUCCUAAGAACUUUCUAGAUAACUCCUGGAUAGAAACUUUCCUUUUCCUAAACUCUUUAAGAAACUUGCUACUCAAGCUUUGAUCAAGCUUAUUCCAACAUUCUCCUCCUUAAGCUUGAACUCUAUCUUUGACAAAUCUUGAAUCCAAAUUAGCUCUCUCAUUUCUUUGAACUUAAUCCUUCCAAGCGCUUUGGUUAGGAUGUCCGCCCUUUGCUCUGUUCCCGGAACAUGUUCGACUUCGAUCAGCUCACUUUCAACACAUUCGUAUAAAAUGAUAUCGCCGGUGAAUGUGCUUAUUGCGACCAUGGAAAACUGGAUUUUUAGUGAGUGCUAUAGCAGAUUUGUUGUCAACCCGAAGAACCACUCUUUUACUUGUUGAACCAAAAAUCUCGCUAAACAAUUCCUGCAACCAGAUUGCUUAUUUCGCCGCUUCCGUAGCCGCCAUAAACUCUGAUUCACACGAUGACAAUGCAACAGUUUCCUGCUUCUGUGAUGCCCAAGUAAUCGGGCAUUCAUUAAGAUAAAAGAUGUGCCCUGUCGUGCUUCUACCAUCAGCUAAGUCUACACCGAGACUACUAUCGCUGUAUCCUAUCAGACCCGGUUUUGCCUUUCGUUUGAAUGACAGACCAUGAGCCAUUGUCCCCUUGAGAUAUCUCAAAACAUGUUUUAAAGCCGCCCCAUGAGACUCUUUUGGCUCUGUCAUAUAUCUGCUUAGUAUACCUACACUGUAGGAGAGGUCAGGCCUUGUUUGUAACAGAUAUCUGAGGCACCCAAUAUUCCUCCUGUAGUUCAAUUCAUCAACUUUCUUUUCCUCCUUAGCUUUUGACAAUCGAAGACCUGGAUCCAUAGGCACUUGUGCUGCAUUACAGUUAUUCAUCCCAGCUUCCUCAAGAAUUUUUCUUGCAUAUCUUUCUUGCUUUAACAUAAUGCCAUUCUCAUGUUGCAGAACUUCUAUUCCGAGAUAAUAUGUGAGCUUGCCAAGGUCACUCAUCUCAAACUUAGUCGCCAUUCCCCUUUUAAACUCGAGAAUUGUAUUCGGACUAGAGCAUGUAACCAAUAAGUCGUCGACAUAAACAGCAACCAGAAGAAGAUCCUCUUUGUCUCGUUUCCAGUAUAAAGAAGGUUCCUUUGAGCACUUUACAAAGCUUAGCUCUCUUAGUAUCUUGUUGAGUUUGUUGUUCCAUGCCCUUGGUGCUUGCAUUAGACCAUAGAGUGCUUUGUGUAGUUUAUACACCUUUCCCUCACUCCCUUCAAUCACAAAACCUUCUGGUUGGGUAACAUAUACUUCUUCCUCUAAUUCUCCAUGUAAAAACGCAGUUUUUACAUCAAGAUGAUGUAUUUUCCAACCAUUGGAUGCAGCUAAAGAGAUGAUGAACCGAACUGUUUCGAUACGCGCCACUGGAGCGAAUACUUCAUCGAAAUCUAUCCCAUGUCUUUGUACAUAGCCUUUUGCAACUAAUCUCGCUUUGUAUUUGUUGAUGCUCCCAUCGAAAUUACGUUUUGAUUUAAAAAAACCCACUUUAGUCCGAUUGGUUUAGCUCCUAUGGGUAGAUCGACUAAGCUCCAUGUUUUGUUCUUGACAAUUGAGGAGAUUUCUUCGUUGCAAGCUCUUCGCCAGGCUUCCGUUUUGUUUGCUUCUUCAAAACUCCAUGGUUCAUCGUUAAUGGCUAAAUGUAGAUAUUCUCCUUCAUAAUCCACUUCUGCCAGACAACCAAAAUCCUUCAAAUACCCUGGUUUUCUAACCUCUCGAGUAGACCUCCUCAGAGGAAGAGAAUCUGCUUCUGCUUGUUCAGGACUCGCAUUAUCGUGAACUGGGUGAGGCUCUGUCUCAAGAUAUGCCGGAUGUUUUUCUUCCCCAUCGGUUCCUUCUUCUGCUACAAUCUCGUCUUCUUCAACUCUGUUUACAUCAGUGGCUCUGUUCUCCUCUGUUCUCAUGUCAUCAUCGGUGUUGUUUAACCCAUGAUUUCUGAACUUUCCAAAACUAAAGGAGAACAUUCCUGGUUCCUGGUUAUUCUCUCCUGAAGCUUUCCACUUCCAGACUCUGUUUUCGUCGAAGAUGACGUCUCUGCUCACUAUAACUCUGCGAUUACUUGGAUCCAAAAUUCGAUAGCCUUUUGUUCCCGGUUCUGUUCCCAAGUGUACAAGAACUCGAGAUCUAUCGUCAAGUUUUCUUUGAUGUGGAGUUUCUACUUUCGCGUAUGCUACACAUCCAAAUAUGCGCACGUGCUUGACAUUAGGUUUCUUCCCUUUGUAAAGGCUUCGUAUGGAGUUUGUGAAUCCAAAGAUCGUGUUGCGAAUCUGUUGAUCAAGUAAGUAGCAUGUCUGACAGCUUCUCUCCAGAGGUAAUUCGGUACUCUCAUGUGUUUUAGAAUACUUCUGGUCAUCUCCAUGAGCGUUCUAUUUCUCCUCUCUACCACACCGUUUUGUUGGGGUGAAUAAGGAGCGGUUAAAUGCCAAUUGAUGCCUGAAGUUUCGCAAAAACUCUGGAAAUCCUGAGAUACGAACUCUCCUCCUCUAUCUGUACGAAACGUUUUGAUGUUUGCUCCUGUUUCUUGCUCAACAGUGGCUUUGAAUCCUUUAAAUCUUUCAAACGCAUCGCUUUUCUCCUUUAGCAGAAUAGUCCACAUAUAUCGCGAAUGGUCAUCGAUUAGCACAAAUAUGUACCGUUUCUGUGCUGCUGUGGAUGGUGUGAUGGGUCCGCAAAGAUCUCCAUGUAUCAGUUCUAAUACCUUUGUGGCUCGAUACGAGGUUGCUUGUGGGAAGCUUCUUCGUGUUUGUUUACCAAGCAGACAUGAGACACGAGUUUCUUUCUCUUUUGGAAUGCCUUCUAUACCAAUUACUAACUCCGUUCUCACCAUUGUCUUUAUAGUUUCUGGGUUGACAUGUCCUAGUCGGGAAUGCCAUUGAGAACUGCUUGUUGUUAUCAGCUGCAAACACCUAGUUGCUUCGACCUCUAAGUUGACUUUGUACAGCCUGUUCUUUGAUCGAUUUGCUUUAAUUAAUAGCUGACCGUCUUUGUCAAUCAAUGUAAGGAAGUCUUCCUUCGUUCUUACUUCACAGCCACACUCUGUAGCUUGACCGAAACUUAUAAUAUUACUCUUUAAAUCUGGUAUGAAGUAAACAUUAGUUAAGACCUUCCUUUUACCACUUUUGCUGAGAAAAACAAUCGAUCCUUUUCCUUUGAUAUCGAUGCGCGAGUCGUCUCCGAACCUUACUUUCCCUGUGACCGUCUCGUCAAUUUUGAGAAGCAGUUCCGAUUCCCCGUCAUGUGAUUACUCGCACCGUUGUCCAGAUACCACACCUUAUCUGAACAUACAUCGAGAUUUUCUGGUCUCACCUUUUUCUCGUUGAGAAAAACGAUUUCAUGCAUCAUGAGUUUCUCUACUUCAUGCGAGUCGUCUUCUUCAUUCUCUUCUGUUUCUUGUAAUUUUAACAACCUGUCAGGACACUCUGAAGCAUAGUGCCCUGUUUUGUCACACCUGUAGCAGACAACUUUCGAUUUUUCUCUCUGCUGAUAUCCAAAUCAUCCGCGGCCUCUACCUCUUCCAAAUCGUCCUCUACCUCUGCCUCAUCCUGAAGUUUCUUGAUCCUUUUGUGAGUCUGUGUUGGCGUACAUCAAUUUUCCCUGUUCUUCCUGCGGUUCUUCGUCAUCACAGAUUCUUUCCUCAUAGGCUUUGAGUCUUCCCAAAAUAUCUUCAAAGCUUGUUGUUUUUAAAUCGAGGACUUGCUCAAGUGCUGCAACGAUGUGUAUGUACCGCUUCCUUGGUAGACUCUUAAGGAACUUUUUCACAAUCUUUGUUUCCUCAAUAUUUUCUCCUAAGGUAGCCGACUUUGUAGAUAUCUCUGAUAGCUUUCCAACAAAAUCGUCUAUUGUGUCCGUAUCUUUCAUCUUCAGUUUAUCAAAUUCGGCCAUUAGGGUCUGUAAUCUUGCUUCUUUAACUCUGUCUGCUCCAAGAUGUCUAGUUUUUAUCGAUUCCCAAACGGCUUUUGCAGUUUUCAGCUCCCCGAUCUGUAGUACUAACGCAUCAGGCACGGACUGAAACAGAAGUCCUUGUGCUAAGUCGUUUUUCUCGGCAUCUUCUGAUCCUGGGUCGGUGGUGUCCCAUACUUUAUUUAUCAUGAGCAAUACUCUCAUCCGCAUUGCCCAGACUGUGUAAUUAGUGUUGUUGAGCAUCGGACACUGGAUGGUUGUAGAGGAGCUUCCCUCUUUUGUUUUGGUUGUCGCUGUGACGAGAUCUCCCAUGGUUGUAGGGUUUUGUUUGCUCUGAUACCAAAUAUAGAAUUUAGAACUUAGAUCAAGAAAUAAUAAAGCAACUUCUUUAUUAGCUUUAGAAAAUAACUCAAAACUAAAGCUUCUUAAUCUCUCUCUAAACUCUUAAGGAUUACCACAACUUUGGUAUCUCUUAUAUAGAGGAGAUAAAACACAUCCUAAUCCUAAUGGAUAAACACUUUAACAUUCUUAGAUAACUCCUAAGAACUUUCUAGAUAACUCCUAGAUAGAAACUUUCCUUUUCCUAAAUUCUUUAGGAAACUUGCUACUCAAGCUUUGAUCAAGCUUAUUCCAACAUUCGAGACCAGUUGAAGUUAAUCAUCAUGGGACGAUCCAGUUUCAGGGACUUUAAGAAUUUAAUAAAAAUAUUCAAUUUCGCAUAUAAAUAGGUUUUGGAGGCACAACCAAGAUCUUUGAAGCAGCCAAGAAAUCUCUCGAACUAGUUUAUCAAAGGUGGCUGCUGAAACAUAACAUCUAACAUGAAAAUUAACAUUAGAAACAUCUCAAAAUGAUAAAAAGGAUAGAGAUUCUUCGCCAAAAGACAAAACAGUGACAGAGGAAAAAAGAAAGAGAAUUAAUUUGAUGAAAAGUAAAGACAUCAUCUGUUGUUUUCGUCUAACAUGUCAAAGAGAAGCCAGCAACAUUCAGGUUCUUACAUUGUUUCAGAGUUUCACAGAAAAUCAUAAUCAACAGCGCCAAAACUAUCAUUGUAAUAGCACCUUUUACCGUCCUCUGCCACAAACUCUUCCUUGAUACAGAUUCGUAGUCACCGUCGCCGCCAAUACCCUCAUUUUUGUCUUCGGAGGCUUCUCCAUAUUGAGAUUCAUUGUCUUCUUUGUCAGAGGCUUCACCAGAUUCAGAUUCAGAUCUCCCGUUAGCAAUACAAUCAUCGUCAUCUUCUUUUUCGUGUGAGGCUUUGCAGGAUUCUUCUAUAACCGAGUAAUCACUUCCAUCGUCAUCUUCUUCUUCGUCGUCGUCAAUAUCCUCAUCAUUUUCUUGGGACGCUUCUCCGGAAUCAGAUUCAUCAUCUUCUUCUUUGUAUGAGGCUUUGUCAGUAACCCAGUCGUCAACUUUUUCUUGGGACGCUUCUCCAAAUUCAGAUUCAUCUCCAGAUUCCCCAUUGUUGUUGCUUACAUCUGUUUCGUCCAUCAAAAUCUGGAGACCACACUCUAUAAUGUCAAAUUCGUCGUCUUCGCUGCUGAAUUUGAGCACUAUACUUCUGCUCACUUCAGAGGGUUCGAUAACAGGCAAGCGUUCGUGAAAUAUAAAUAAAUGUUUUGUUUGUUGUGAAAACUAGAAACUUUAUUAAUCACUGGAAUGUAUAUAUAGAGUACAUAGGGAAUCUAGGUUAAGUACAAUGCCCUGAUGGGCCUAAUGGGCCGGUAUAAGAGUCCAUAUAUGAUAUGUGUUAUAACACUCCCCCUUGGACGAGUGAACCGGGCCAGCUACUCAAUCGGGAUCUCGAUAAUGCGCUGGGGAAUGUUGCCUCAUUAAAACCUUACCAGGAAAAACCCAGUGGGACAAAACCAUGGUGAAGGAAAAAGAGUACAACACGCAUUACUCCCCCUGAUUGUAGCAUCACUGCAGAUCUCUAAGUCUAUACAUUCCUAUCUGUUUGACGAGCUUCCGGUGUGUUGAAGUAGGCAAUGAUUUGGUGAAGAGGUCAGCUGAAUUCUCACUGGAUCGGACCUGCUGAACGCUGAGAGUGCCGUCCUUCUGCCAGUCUGAGGUUGAGAAGAACUUCGGUAGAAUGUGCUUCGUCCGAUCUCCUUUGAUAUAUCCUUCCUUGAGCUGAGCUAUGCAUGCCGCGUUGUCUUCAUACAUCACCGUGGGCUGUGUGUCUUCGUCCAUACCACAAUCUCUGUGGAUGUGCUGAGUCAAGGAGCGCAGCCAGACGCAUUCCCUACUAGCCUCAUGAAUGGCUAGGAUUUCAGCAUGGUUUGAUGAAGUGGCAGUGAGUGUCUGCUUCAUUGAUCUCCAAGAGAUGGCUGUUCCUCCAUGCGUAAAAACGUAGCCAGUUUGAGGCAGUGUGCGGAUCUGAUAGAUAUCCUGCAUCGGCAAAGCCGACUAACCCAUCUUUAUUUUUGUUAGUAUAGAAGAGUCCUAAGUCUUGAGUACCUCGAAGGUAUCUUAGGAGAUGUUUUAUACCGUUCCAGUGCCUCUGAGUUGGGGAUGAACUAUAUCGAGCGAGGAGGUUCACGGCGAAACAUAUGUCUGGUCUAGUGUGACUAGCCAGGUACAUUAACGCUCCUACAGCACUGAGGUAUGGCUUUUCAGGACCAAGGAUUUCUUCAUCAUCCUUUUUGGGACCAAGAGGGUCAUCACUUAAGCUUCUAACUACCAUUGGGCUGGUCAAUGGGUGAGCUUGGUCCAUAUUAAAUCGCUUGAGUACCUUUUCGAUAUAAGCCGAUUGAUGCACAAGGAUUCCUCCUUUGAUGUACUCAAGUUGUAAUCCCAAACAGUACUUUGUUUUGCCUAGGUCUUUCAUUUCGAAUUCUGCUUUUAAGCAGUCGACUGUUUGGGAGAUCUCACCAGAUGUUCCGAGGAUGUUUAGAUCAUCCACGUAUACUGCUAUGAUUACAAAUCCUUUGUUUGAGUACUUCUUGAUGAAGAUGCAUGGACUGAUGGGGUCAUUUUUGUAGCCUUCUUUGAUGAGGUAAUCGCUGAGGCGGUUGUACCACAUACGCCCACUUUGUUUCAGUCCAUACAAGGAUUUGUUCAGCCUGAUGCAGUAUUGAUCUCGAGAUGCAUUUUUGUCUUUUAGUUCAAUGCCAUCUGGGAGUCUCAUAUAUAUUUCGUUGUCCAGGGGCCCAUAGAGAUAUGCGGUUACAACAUCCAUUAACCGCAGAUCAAGAUUUUCUCUUAUGGCCAGACUUAUGAGGAAUCGGAAUGUUGUUGCAUCCACCACUGGAGAAUAAGUCUCCUCAUAAUCGAUUCCGGGUCUCUGUGAGAAUCCUUGUGCUACAAGCCGUGCUUUGUAUUGAACGACUUCACCGAGUUCGUUCCUUUUGCGCACAAAGACCCAUUUGUGGCCCACUGGCUUGAUGUGUGAUGGGGUCCGGAUGAUCGGACCGAACACGUUUCUGAGUUUGAGACUCUUUAACUCCACGUUUAUGGCUUCUUUCCAUUUUAGCCAAUCUGUUCGAUGUGUACACUGUGUUAUUGACGUGGCUUCUAGAUCCUCUUGCGUGAGCGCAACAUCAAGUGCUACUUUGUAUGCAAAGAGUGCAUUUAAGUCGACUUCUUUUCGAUUCCAUUGUAUUCCGGACAUAUUGUAAUUGAUGGAGAUCUCAUUGUUAUCUUCUGAACCUGGAGAUUCGGCGUCCCGAACUUCCAUUGAGGGUUCAUUAGAUUGAGUCUCAGCCGCGGCUAUGUCUGAUAUUGCAGGAAUCCCGGUUUCGGUUAUUGCACCUUUCUUUGAUUUCCGGGGAUUCUUAUCUUUGGAACCGAGAGGUCUGCCCCGUUUGAGACGUGGUGCAGACUCUGUAGCAACUUGGGUCUGUCCCGUUGGGACAGCUAUUCGUACUGGUGCAUUACAAGCUGGGAUGUACGAUUUGGUUACUUUGGUCGGGUCAGCAAAGGAAUCUGGCAAUUGAUUAGCUAGCUUUUGAUAAUGAAUAAUCUUUUGGAUCUCUGAAUCACAUUCUAGAGUCCGAGGAUCUUGCCAAUUUAAUGAUGUUUGAUUCCAUGAAAGAUCUUUGACCAGCUUGUUUGUCUCACCACCUAAAGAGGGAUAUACCGAUUCAUCGAAUUGGCAACCGCAUAUCUGGCCUUGAAGAGAUCUCCAGUGGUUGGCUUGAGAUAUCUUAUGAUGGUGGGAGAGUCAAAACCAACAUAUAUUCCCAUCCUUCUUUGAGGUCCCAUUUUGGUUCGAUGUGGUGGAGCAAUGGGUACAUAUACUGAACACCCAAAUGUUUUGAGAUGGGAGAUGUCUGGCUCAUGACCCGAGAGUAGUUGGGAUGGGGAAUAUUUGUGUUCACUAGAUGGCCGGAUGCGUAUGAGUUCAGCAGCAUAUAAUACUGCAUGUCCCCAUGCUGAGGCCGGGAGCUUUGAUCUCAUGAGUAAUGGUCGGGCUAUCCAUUGAAUGCGUUUAAUGAAUGAUUCAGCCAAUCCAUUUUGAGUAUGGACAUGUGCUACAGGAUGUUCCACGGUUACCCCCAUGGCCAUACAGUAGUCAUUAAACGCUUGUGAGGUAAAUUCACCAGCAUUGUCAAGGCGGAUAGUCUUUAGUGGGAAGUCAGGGAAAUGGGCCCGCAAUUUGAUGAUUUGGGCCAAGAACCUAGCGAAGGCUUGGUUCCGAGAGGACAAGAGACAAACAUAUGACCAACGGGUCGAUGCGUCUAUAAGGACCAUGAAGUACCCGAAUGGUCCGGAAGAUGGAUGUAUAGGUCCACAGAUAUCGCCCUGGAUUCUUUCUAGGAAAUGAAGUGUUUGUUUAGAGAUUUUAACUGGUGAAGGCCGAGUGAUCAAUUUGCCUUGAGAACAAGCUGUGCACAUGAGGUGUUGAGGAUAAGCUCGGUUUUCUUUGAGGGUAUGCCCUUGAGAGUUUUGAAUUAGUUUACGCAUCAUAUUUGCACCGGGAUGACCGAGCCGGUCGUGCCAAAUAGUAUAAUCAGUAAACCGGGCUUUGAGAGUGGUAUUAGCUUCAAUCAUACUGACUUUAGCAUGGUAAAGUCCAGUAGAGAGCGCGGGUAUGGUUUCGAGGAUUUGUUUAUGGCCGUCUACGGUUUUAGUGACUAGGAGGGAUUCUUUGUUCCCUUGACCUUGGGUUUCUAUGUGGAAACCAUUCUGUCUUAUAUCCUUGAAGCUCAGAAGAUUUCUCUUCGAACUAGGAGAAUAUAGAGCAUCUGGUAUUUCAAGUUGUGUGCCAUUUGAUAGCAACACAUAGGCAUGGCCAUAUCCUUCGAUAAGGUUUGAGGGACCCGCGAUGGUGCUAAUAUUUGCGGUUUGAUAGGUUAGGUUUAUGAAGUAACUUUUGUUUCUUAAGAUAGUGUGGCUGGAUCCACUAUCUACGACUAUGGUUUCCAUUUGCUGGUGUGCUUCAUUAUGAAUAGAAGAUAGAAUUCAGUAUUGAAGAAUUCAGAAAAUGUGAUAAAUCAUAAAGUAAAGCAGUGUCUGAGAAUAAAGGCAAAUGGAAAAAAAAAAAAAAUAAAGAAAAAAAUCAAAUUGUAUCAGAGUUUCAGAUGAUUGAAUUAAUCGAGGAGAUCAGCUGUUUCAUAGUCCAUGGGGUUGGUCUGCUCGUUUGUGGUGUUCUCAUCAUCAAGGAGGUCGUCACCUUCCAGGUUAGCAGCAUCGACUGGCUGAGUCAUGUUGGCUUCAGCAGGAGCUUUUCCGUACUUCUGGUAUAGAUCGCAGUGGAUCUUGGGGGUGCGACAUUGCUUUGUUGGGUGGUUGAACAUCCCACAUCUGGUACAAGCAGAGUGAUCGGGGUUGGUGUGGCGGGUCGGCUUGGUGAUGCCUCGACCACGACCAGGACCAUAACUGAGGUUAGGUCGGUUGCCACGACCAUGUCCGCGUCUACGUCUUCCACGUCCAUGUCCUCGGCCAUUACCACGUCCAUUACCACGUCCACGGCGGUGAUCUGAGGAUCUAUCGGGUUGAACAUGGUAGGACUCUUGACGAGAAGCUGGGACAGGAGCCGAUCCCGGGGGCCUCAUAGCGCUGUUCCUCAUAAGCAGCUGGUUAUUCUUCUCAGCGAGGAGAAGACAGGACAACAAGUCUUCGUACAAUGUGUGUUUCAUUGCACGGUAUUGUUGUUGGAGCACAACAUUCUCUAUGCUGAAUGUGGAUAAUGUUUUCUCGAGGAGAUCAUUAUCUGUCACAUUCUCGCCACAGAGUUUCCGGAUGGCAACAAUACAAAAGAGUUCGUUGUUGUAAUCAUCUACGGAUUUGUAGUCCUGGAACCGAAGGUUCUUCCAGUCGAAAUCUGCCUGAGGCAACUGGACCAUUUUCUGAUGGUCAUAUCGCUUUUUCAGCGCUUGCCACAAUUCAAGUGGAUUCUCAAGAGUGAGAUAUUGCUGCUUAAGGCUCGGGGCCAGAUGAUGGCGUAUGUGACAUAUCGCCUGAGACUGUCUCUUACGGGAUGCGGUGUUACCGUCGGUAAUACAUGCAUCGAGUUCUUUCGAUGCAAGGAACAAGCGCAUGUCUAGGGCCCACUCGAGGUAGUUAUCCCCGGAGACGUGAAGGGCCUCGAAUUCACAUUUCUGAAUGUUUGACAUCUGAAACAUGAGAUUGAUUUUGUUAGGGAUUGUUUUGAGAAAAUUUUGAAUGCUGAUGAUGAAACUUUCUAUUUUGAGAAUAUUUCUAUUUUAGGAAAGUUUCUAAAUUUGGAAAGUUUCUAAUUUGGGUAAUUUUCUAAAUGAGGAAAGUUUCUAUGUCGGGAAAAUUUCUAUAUGAGGAAAGUUUUUAUAUGAGGAAACUUUCUAUUAGAGGGAACUUUCUCGGAAAUAGUAAAUUUUAAAGGGUAUGGUUUUAGUUACCCCGAACACGAUGUCGGUUUAAUAGCUGUGAUUUAAUCGGUUAAAGCCGAAUAUAAUUUCGGUUAAUGAGAACUAGGUUUAGCCGGUUUUAGGCGGUUUAGGAGGAACCCUAGGGGAGAAUCAACAAUCAAAUAAGCUGCAACAAGCUUAUUAAACAUGAAGAAAAUCGAAUAGGUUUAUGCCAUAAACAUGGCCAAAAACGGUUGUUAGGUUUUUGUAGAUUAGGGUUUUAUAAAACGAGUUUAAAACCUUUGAACAUGCAUAAACUUGUAAUUUAAACAAUCAAUCAACAAGUUAUCAAUCAAUCAUCAGAGUAUCAAACACUUUCAAUCAAUUAGAGAUCGAUUUUUUUUUUAUAGGGUUUUGAAGUGUUUAAACAACCGGUUCUAUGGCUUUCAGUUUUAGAAGAUACCUUUUCCACCUUUGGAUUUCUGACAGGCUAAUGAAACUGGGAGCUAAUAGACCUCAGUUAGCCGCUACAAAUUCCAAGGAUUGAUCACCAAAACUGGAGAAGCUGCUGGUUGAAGAAGUAAAAACUCGGAUCUGGUUUUUUUUUUUUUUUCGGUUGAUCGUCGUGUACUGUAAGUGUGCGUGAGGGCGCGUCCGACGUUGGAUCGACAAACGGUUUUCACCAGUAGAUUCGUCGAGGGCUUCGAUUUGAUAUGUAGAUCGUCUUCUGGUUCCUCACGGUUUGGAAGAUAUGCGUCUUUUAAGUUUCGACUUGCUUUUAGGGUUUUGGUGGUGGCCGGAUUUAUUAGGGUUUUUCGCUCAGAGAGUCUUAUCGUGCUGAUAACGUGUUGUGAAAACUUAGAAACUUUAUUAAUCACUGGAAUGUAUAUAUAGAGUACAUAGGGAAUCUAGGUUAAGUACAAUGCCCUGAUGGACCUAAUGGGCCGGUAUAAGAGUCCAUAUAUGAUAUGUGUUAUAACAUUGUUUUAAUUUUGCGACACCAGGUAAGUAGGGACUGAUGUCAACAGAGUUUAUUACCUUGUCGUUGACUAGGCAGCGAUACCAAAGUCUUGAAUCCAAAAUUAGGUUCUGCUUAAUCACAACGCAAACCUUGAAUCUGUUGAAAGUGGAAUAACCAAUUGUUAAGCAUUUUCCUCUGGCUCGGUGAUGGAACUCUGCAGGUACUUCUGUUCCGGGU